rnacentral:SRP_RNA from 1 species
GCCGGGUGCGGUGGCUCGUGCCUGUAGUUCCAGCUACUCAGGAGGCUGAGGUGGGAGGAUCGCUUGAGCCCAGGAGUUCUGCGCUGUAGUGUGCUAUGCUGAUCGGGUGUCCGCACUAAAUUUGGCAACAAUAUGGUGAUCUCCUGGGAGCAGGGGACCACCAGGUUGCCUAAGGAGGGGUAAACUGGCCCAGGUCGGAAACGGAGCAGGUCAAAACUCCCGUGCUGAUCAGUAGCGGGAUCGCGCCUGUCAAUAGCCACUGCGCUCCAGACUGGGCAACAUAGCAAGACCCUGUCUCU